CUCUUCACAUGGUCUGUGGGACCAGGGAGGUGAUGCCUGGUGUUUGGAUCUGCAGGUUUUGGAGCUAAGCAGGGAUGUCUCCCCACACCAGAGGGACAAAGCUCACCACCACCUCAGGCAGUGGAUGCUCCAGGCAGGGAGCACCCACUCCAUCCUGCAAUCAUAGAAUCAUGGAAUUGUUUUGGUUGGAAAAGACCCUUAAGACCAUCAAGUCCAACUGUUAACCCAGAACUGCCAAGUUACCACUAACCCAUGUCCCUCAGAAUCAUGUCUACAAGUCUUCUAAAUACCUCCAGGGAUGGUGGCUCAACCAGCCGCUCCUCAGCAGCUCAGCUUUGCUUCAAGCCUCCAACCCACAGCCUUAGGGCUCAGCAGAGGUGUUUUGGGGGAAAUGCAGUUUGGGCUCUGGUUUGAGGAGAUCCGAGAGUCCCUGUGGUGUCUGCUCCCAGGACAAGGGAGAAGCAGUGGCACAUGGAGUCACAUUGGGCUACUCCGUGCUUUGGAGAAGCCGCCCUGUGCCUCUCCUGCAGCACUGGGACCUGCAGAACCCCAACCCUUCCUCCAUGGACUCAUUCAUCACCCAUCACCCCACUGGGAGGAGCAGCCCCACUUUGCCUCGGGGCUGCCAAAACAGUCCCAGCCCUACCCAGGGGGGUGAGGAAGGACCCCCAGCUCCUGGUGUCCCCAGCUGUGCCACGUUCACAGUACAGUGCACAGUCCACAGUGUGUGCUGCGCAGGGUGAGCCUGGAUGGCACAUCAAGAGAAGGAUGAGCAGCAGGAUCCGGGAGCCAGCACCAUAGCUCCCAGGCAGCUCAAUGGGAACCUUGAGUCCCAGCUCUUGGAGCCUCUGAUGAGCAUCGCAGACCACUGGCUCCUCUUCUCAGGGCUAACAGCUCCCAUGUCCUGCACUGCUGCUCUCUUCAUGUUGAUGGAUGUGGUUGUCCUACAUAACAUUCUCUGGGAUUUCUGUUCCCCCUUGUUGGGUUGCUCUAGGCUGAUUCAAUAAAGCAAUCUAUGGACA
rnacentral:lncRNA from 1 species